rnacentral:rRNA from 1 species
CACAUGCAAGUCGAGGGGCAGCAUGAACUUAGCUUGCUAAGUUUGAUGGCGACCGGCGCACGGGUGAGUAACACGUAUCCAACCUGCCGAUGACUCGGGGAUAGCCUUUCGAAAGAAAGAUUAAUACCCGAUGGCAUAGUUCUUCCGCAUGGUGGAACUAUUAAAGAAUUUCGGUCAUCGAUGGGGAUGCGUUCCAUUAGGUUGUUGGCGGGGUAACGGCCCACCAAGCCUUCGAUGGAUAGGGGUUCUGAGAGGAAGGUCCCCCACAUUGGAACUGAGACACGGUCCAAACUCCUACGGGAGGCAGCAGUGAGGAAUAUUGGUCAAUGGACGAGAGUCUGAACCAGCCAAGUAGCGUGAAGGAUGACUGCCCUAUGGGUUGUAAACUUCUUUUAUACGGGAAUAAAGUGAGGCACGUGUGCCUUUUUGUAUGUACCGUAUGAAUAAGGAUCGGCUAACUCCGUGCCAGCAGCCGCGGUAAUACGGAGGAUCCGAGCGUUAUCCGGAUUUAUUGGGUUUAAAGGGAGCGUAGGCGGACGCUUAA